rnacentral:rRNA from 1 species
AGGAUAAAACGCUGGCGGCGUGCCUAAUACAUGCAAGUCGAGCGGUAAGGCCUCUUCGGAGGUACACGAGCGGCGGACGGCUGAGUAACGCGUAGGAACAUACCCCAAAGUGAGGGAUAAGCACCAGAAAUGGUGUCUAAUACCGCAUGUGAUCUAAGGAUUAAAGCUUCGGCGCUUUGGGAAUGGCCUGCGUCCGAUUAGCUAGUUGGUGAGGUAAAAGCUCACCAAGGCGACGAUCGGUAGCUGGUCUGAGAGGAUGAUCAGCCAGACUGGGACUGAGAACGGCCCAGACUCCUACGGGAGGCAGCAGUAGGGAAUUUUCCACAAUGGGCG